rnacentral:lncRNA from 1 species
GGGCGAGGAUCUGGUGUUGGCAUGUGGGCCGGGAGAAAUAAUCCCUAGCGAAAGGCUGAGGGACACGGAGACAGGCAUUGGGCCGGGAGGGAGUUAUCUCUGGCUACGGGCACAGAGACUGAGGUGCAGGCAUUGGGCCGGGAGUUAUAUUCAUUCAGUGAUCUUUCUAGCAGCACACCGCUUUACGAGACGAUUUAUGAGACGUUUACUGUUUUGAUUUCUGCGAUGAGAUUCCGCAAUAUGGCUUUUGAGAUAUUUUUGGCAUGCUAGAAUUUUUAUUAAAUCCAUCACUUACUAUGCUAGUAGUUUUCACUAUUAAACUUUGGGGGUUAAUAUCUUGAUAAAUGUUUUAUUAUUAUAUUAUAUAUAAACUUGGUCCACUCACCUUUGUUUUGCGCCCCCAUUCAGGACUUAGAACCGAGGCAUACGAUCCCGGCGUGAAGGCACUUCCGUAGCAGCAUCUUCGGAUCCUCUCGAUGUAGGACCCACUUCUUCAUUCAUUCAACUUUAUCUUAAUUCUUUUUAGUGACUAGGUUUAGUUGUAUGCUCUGAACACGUUCCUAAAUUAUUAAUUCAUGGUAUUUUAAAUUUCUAACCCUUAUUUAUUUCUUAUUCUUAGCUUUUGUAUCAAUUAAUGGCUUUCGUCACCCCCGGGUGUCGGCGAGCACGUGUCGGUCCUGGUAUUCAGGGAAUAUCAGGGUCGGGGCGUGUCAGAUUGGUAUCAGAGCGUGGUUUGUUCAGAGCAUACUUAGGAUUCUUUUCUAUUCUCUUAAAGUGUCGGUUUUGACAUCAUUUGGAUGUCACGAUUUCCGGAUUUUGUGCUAGUCGGUGCAGUUGUACAAAUCUCUCUCGGAUUGAAUUGUCGCCUUCUGGUUGAAAUUCAAGAAUUCGUGUCGGGAUUGUGCCUCAACAGUGAUGAAGUGAAUUGUUGGACGACUUUAAGGAUCAGAUUGAUACUCUACGACGUGCAUCCCUUGGGAAUGAAGGUUAGAGUCAGUAUUACUUAGAAGCGACGUGUUUUAGAAAUCUCAAUUUGAGGAAUUCUGGUUAAGACUAGCUGUAGAUUCGAAAUGGCGAUGCCACUCUGCAACAUGCGUUCCCUAGGAAUUGCGGGCGGAGUCGGCUCUACAUCGCAAUCUUGAGAAACUCGUCAGUAGCAAACGCUAUUGUCAUUAAUUUCCAAAAUGAGUUGCAAUUCGUGUUGCUGUUGUAGUUGGAUUUGGAUGAUGAAUAUCCAGUCUUGUUUGGAUAAACAGAUUCCUUGAACUUCACCUGGGUUUAGUACUUGGGGGUAAAUCCUAGCUUCUAGCCUUCGUACUUUUCGACGAGGAUGAACUUAGUCUCUGCUUGCAACCUAAAUGUCCAGUCUUGUAAUUUUCAGUGUAAUGGCUUGAGACUCUAUCAUAUUCAUCAUUGUAUGAAGAUCGAGCUUUACUCUGAACUUCUCUGGACUCAUUGAGUUUUGGUUUGCUCAAGGGCAUCACUUUAAGGUAACCAAUCGUGGCACUGCAUGCUUACGCAGGUUGCUUUGUAUCUUUCUUCUUCGUCCCAUUGAUUCAGAGGUUCUAUGUUUAAUUUCUGAAUUUUUAAAUGGCUCUCACAAAGUAUUGUGAAUUUUGAAAUGUCUUUGGCCUCGUCAAAUCUUAUUGACAGUUCUUAACUAUUCCUGAGCUUAGACCUAUUUCCUUUUUAACUAAGAAACCAGUUGACCAUACUGUGAUGAUUUGCAAAAUAAUCAGAAACAGUGACUUCUAUUUCUGCAUCUUUACCUUCCUUCGCUUGUUUGUUUGUCAAUGUGAACUGGAUCAUGCCGGAACAUUAUUUGGAGGGUGCAAAAAAAAAAAAAAAAAAAAAAAAAAAAAAAAACGUUUGUUCUCGGCAUGGUUUCUCGUUCAAAUCGCAAUAUCUUGUACUCCAGUUUUAUUGGACUUGUUUUGACUCUCAAAUUCUUGAGUGUUCUUUUAGCCUUCUCGACCUGGUUUCUUGCUCGAUUAGUGAGGAAUUCACGAUCGAUGGAUUCGACGGAAGUGUCCACCCAAUGCGGGUCGAUUUGGACAGGAAUGUUGGGAGCAUAAUCUUUUCACCAGCUUACCAAACUUAUCAUAAAGAGUUCCACGUGGGUGUGAAGUUUGAGCUGUAUUUUGGUAAGAGAUUGGUGAAGAUUUUGGUGCAGAAGGUCAGCAUAUUGCAUCACCAUCUUAUUAGAAUUCAUAGGCAUCACAUUGGUUAUUUUCCAACGAUAUGUGUUCGUCUCGACGCAUAUUUCCACUGCUUCACUUCCGAACCUUAUUGUUGUGAGUACGUGGUUGUUAAAACACUUCUAGCAGAUCUGUUUGGUGCAUUCUGGAAUGGCACUACAGGACGGUCGAAGCGAGAAUUGGAUAAUCUUUGCACUUCUCUCGAAUUGUGCGUGUUCUCUUUGGUUGUUAGGAUGACCAUUUGCAAGUCGUUCUUCUUUCCACCAACUUUGACCUUGUUUGACUUGAAAUCUGCAACUAAGCAAAAAUGGAAAGGUGGUUUGAGCACCGCAACGGUUCCCAAGAGAUACUGCUUGUUGAGGAAUAUGACUUCUCGUUUUCUGCUUGCUUGACUCGAGCUUUUGGGUCUACUACUAACAUGGUAGCCACUUCUCUUGAAUCCCAAGGUACAAUUUUCAAAUGAGUUCUUUACUGGUGAAAUUCUGAAGUAGUUGGUCACAUUUGGAAGAACUGAGGAGGAUAGGAUGCUUGGUGCUAGAUGGAAUCAUUACGACGACAGUUUCUGUUUUGUUCGGUUUGGAGUAUGGCACUUUUGCGACAUGGUAUGAAGGUUGCUAUAUGCAACACUGGUUGUUAGAGGAGUUGUGCGAGCUUGGAUUCGGAGGAUCGAAUUUUCGAUAUGGAAAAUUGUACACCUUUGAGAAAUUACUACUCGCUUAUCGAGACAACAAUGUGAGCUCGAUAUUGCGGGCUGCAGACCGUUGUAUCGAUAGCUUAUUUGUUGGGUUCGUUAAGCAAGUGGGCAAGAAGAUUCGUCUACAGCAGCUGAUGCAGAUUCAGAAUUGUUAUUCUUGGGACUCGACCCAGAAACACAUUUAUUCUCGGAGUACGUGACAUUUCGAAUUCUUGGGCGAGACCCACUCUUAUUUUUCAGUUUUGGUUUUUAGUAUAAGUAUUUUAACUUCAUUUUCCUCUAGUUAUUUGUUUUUGUCGUUACAAAUGUUUUUGGAAAAAUAUUUCUGUUUUCAUUUGUAAGUUGAUUUGAGUUUUGACCUAUAUGUGAUUACUUAUCUAUUUUGGCGUUAUCUGGCCUUAAAUUAUUUUGUGUUUUCGACUUUAUAUUUUAUUAAAGUAUGUUUUCUAUAUUUUUACACUGAUGGGGAAAGAAGGUAUGAGCCUGGAGGCACGAAAGAUGGAAUCAUUGCAGCCGAUCGCGACGGCGUGGCAUUUUCCUUUUUGUGCAACCGCUCUGACUUGAUUUCUUCGUUACGUAUACAUAUAUAUAUAUCAUUUUUCGUAUUUUCGAGUUUUUCAGUGUAGUAUGUUAUUUUAAAUUUCGAGGACGAAAUUUUUUUAUAAGGGUGGUAGAUUGAAACACCCCAACCCGGAAGUUUGAGGUAAAUUUUUCUUCUUCCUAAAAUUUUGCUUACUUUUCACUUUUACCCCUUAUCCUAACAAAAUCCUAGCCGUUCAUCUAAAUUGUCUUUCUCUCCUAAACUGCCAAGUGGCAGCACCCUAACUCUCUCCCUUUCCUUUUCCCGAAAACCCUCAGACCUUCUUAGGGUAAUUCGACGUCCCGGACCCGUUUUUGAAGUCCGUUUUCCCAAAUUCAAUCGUUUGAGUAGAGUUUGACUAAAUGUACCCUUUAUGUGCUUAGGGGCAAUUAAUGGUGACGUUUCCGUCUUCGCUAGUGGCGCAGCUUUUGGCGACUAAGUACUGUGAGUGGACCCCUUCUAAAAUUACAUGAUUUUAUAGUUUAAUUGCAUAAAUGAUUAGCAUGCCUACGAAUUUAUGAAGUGAUUUAUAUGAAGCAUGUCGAUUAAAUAUAUUGAUUAUCGUCUCGUGUUUUGGUGAGGAAUUAAUUGUUAGCCUAUACUGAGCUAUAUUUCAAUAUAUCGUAUUUUCUAUAGAAACCAUGAUCUGGUAGACUAUCUGAUAGGUGACGAUAGGAUACUAGAACAUGUUUUGAACCCCUCUUUAUAGUGUAGACGAUGAUCGGUAACCUAUGCUAUGAAGUGGUUAUUUAUGAGAGACGUAAAUAUUUGUGCGUACCUAGUAGACACUAUGCCGCCUGGGGCGAGGAUCUGGUGUUGGCAUGUGGGCCGGGAGAAAUAAUCCCUAGCGAAAGGCUGAGGGACACGGAGACAGGCAUUGGGCCGGGAGGGAGUUAUCUCUGGCUACGGGCACAGAGACUGAGGUGCAGGCAUUGGGCCGGGAGUUAUAUUCAUUCAGUGAUCUUUCUAGCAGCACACCGCGCUUACGAGACGAUUUAUGAGACGUUUACUGUUUUGAUUUCUGCGAUGAGAUUCCGCAAUAUGGCUUUUGAGAUAUUUUUGGCAUGCUAGAAUUUUUAUUAAAUCCAUCACUUACUAUGCUAGUAGUUUUCACUAUUAAACUUUGGGGGUUAGUAUCUUGAUAAAUGUUUUAUUAUUAUAUUAUAUAUAAACUUGGUCCACUCACCUUUGUUUUGCGCCCCCAUUCAGGACUUAGAACCGAGGCAUACGAUCCCGGC